GGCAUGGCAGUAUGUGGUUUGGCCGCAAAAAGCGCAAUUGUGUAUAAAAUUUUUAAUUUGGCGCCACCGCGUACUGCCAAGUCACAAACCACAAAUCUAUAUUGGAGCGGGUGGUGCGGACGAAAAUAGUUGAAGGAUAGGAAGUACCAAGUUGGCCAUAACAUUUCACUGUCAGUGUACUGGCAACCAUGAAGGGUGGACGAUUGACGUUUUCUUCAGCGGCCAUUUGUACUUGAGAUGCUUGGGCUAGUAGCAUGGAUGUGCUGAAAGGAAAGACUAAAGAACGCAGACAAGCAAAAUUUGAGUUGCACCAUGUACAUUAGCUAUGCUUGACCGAUUGAUAUCGACAUACCAGCUAAACGGGCUAUAAACCUAACAAAAACAUACUGUACAAUAAUAAAAUAACAUGUAAGACAAAAAGCAAUGGAAUAAUCUAAUUGAUAUUCUAUAACAAUACUGCAAAACGUUAGAAGUAUUGACAUAUAUGUAAACGUCACAACGAAAUGAAGUUGGCAUACAUCACACAACGCAGCGGAAUAAUCAUGGCAUACAUCGGAGGUAGCCGCACAUUGAAUAUUCCAUUUAUACAAUGCUGCAAAAUAUAUAAAUAUUCGGGCAAUCUGAAAACAACUAGCUGCACCGUCCCACAAUAUAUUGAUUUCAAAUGUGAGCAUCUGAAAACGAUAAUCGCUCUAUCCCACAUAGACAUGCAUUUUUCCUAACACAAGAACAGUAGCAAAUUAUAUACGGUCACAGUGACACAACAUAAGUUUAGACGAGAACAGCCGUAACAGCCACGUAUACAAAACAGAAC